rnacentral:rRNA from 1 species
CAAAAACAUAGCUAUGUGUUGUUACCCAUAGUACUUUCUGCUCGAUGAGAUUUAAAUGGCCGCAGUACCCUGACUGUGCAAAGGUAGCGCAAUCAAUUGUCUUCUAAUUAAAGUCUUGUAUCAACGAAUAUAUGGGGGCCCACUAUACCAGCAAUAUAUAAUGAACUUACUAAGAGGGUGAAAAUACCCCCAUGUUUUAAUAGACGAGAAGACCCUAGAAAUUUUUAACUUCGCCGUUUUUGUUGGGGCAACAUGGUAACAUAAAACUUACCAUAUGGGCAAGCCAUUUGUUUGAUAGAUCAAAUUACUCUAGGGAUAACAGCAUAAUGUAUAAUCGUUUGUGACCUCGAUGUUGGAUUAGGAAGUCGUAGUUUAAAAGGUGUUCGACAACGCUCUGUUCG